rnacentral:rRNA from 1 species
GACGUAGGUGGCGAGCGUUGUUCGGAAUCACUGAGCAUAAAGCGCACGUAGACGGCCAAGUCAGUCAGGUGUGAAAUACCUCGGCUCAACCGAGGAACUGCGCCUGAUACUGCUUGGCUUGAGGUCCGGAAGAGAGAAUGGAAUUCCCGGUGGAGCGGUGAAAUGCGUAGAGAUCGGGAAGAACGCCGACGGCGAAAACGACUCUCUGGUCGGAAUCUGACGCUGAGGUGCGAAAGCUAGGGGAGCAAACGGG